rnacentral:tRNA from 1 species
UGGGGAGUCGCCAAGUGGUAAGGCAGUAGCCUUUGGAGCUACCUAUCGAAGGUUCGAAUCCUUCCUCCCCAG